rnacentral:rRNA from 1 species
GAUGAACGCUGGCGGCGUGCCUAAUACAUGCAAGUCGAGCGAACAGACGAGGAGCUUGCUCCUCUGACGUUAGCGGCGGACGGGUGAGUAACACGUGGAUAACCUACCUAUAAGACUGGGAUAACUUCGGGAAACCGGAGCUAAUACCGGAUAAUAUAUUGAACCGCAUGGUUCAAUAGUGAAAGACGGUUUUGCUGUCACUUCUAGAUGGAUCCGCGCCGCAUUAGCUAGUUGGUAAGGUAACGGCUUACCAAGGCAACGAUGCGUAGCCGACCUGAGAGGGUGAUCGGCCGCACGGGAGCUGAGACACGGUCCAGACUCCUACGGGAGGCAGCAGUAGGGAAUCUGCCGCAAUGGGCGAAAGCAUGACGGAGCAACGCCGCGUGAGUGAUGAAGGUCUUCGGAUCGUAAAACUCUGUUAUUAGGGAAGAACAAAUGUGUAAGUAACUAUGCACGUCUUGACGGUACCUAAUCAGAAAGCCACGGCUAACUACGUG